rnacentral:rRNA from 1 species
CGGAUAACUGCUGAAAGCAUCUAAGUAGUAAGCCCACCCCAAGAUGAGUGCUCUCCUAUUCCGACUUCCCCUGAGCCUCCGGUAGCAUAGCCGAGACAGCGAC